rnacentral:rRNA from 1 species
AUUGCGGAUCCUCAUGUUGUAAAAAACGGAGGACGACUACAAAAGGUUUACCACCUAUCAGUUUUCGAUGGAAGUAUAUGGAACUUUCAUGACGUUGACGGGUGACGGAAAAUGAGGGUUUGGUUCCGGAGAAGGAGCCUGAGAGACGGCUACUACAUCUAAGGAAGGCAGCAGGCGCGCAAAUUCUUCAAUAGCCAAAUGGCUGAAAGAGUGACGAACAAUAACAAUGUGCGAUUCUUUAUGGAUUGUGCAAUUGGAAUGACAGCAAUUUAAAGAGUUCAAGGAGGAUCAAUUGGAGGGCAAGUCUGGUGCCAGCAGCCGCGGUAAUUCCAGCUCCAAAAGGGUAUAUCAACGUUGUUGCAGUUAAAAAGCUCGUAGUUGAAUUUUGGGUGGCUUUUUUGUUACUUUUUGAUCCGUCGCAAGAUGGUUCAGGGAGGACGGCCGCCUUUUUGUGGACCUAAUAUUUAGUUUGCUAGUUUACUCUAGUAGAUUAGAUACCACUCCGUCACUGAGAGCAAAUUGGAGUGCUCAAAGCAGGCUUGAUAGCUUUGAACAUUUUAGCUUGGAAUGACAAGAUAUGACUUUUGUUUUAUUUUGUUGGUUAUGAAAUAGAAGUAAUGAUUAACAGGAACAGCGCGGAGGUAUCCGUAUUGAAAGGUCAGAGGUGAAAUUCUUGGAUUCCUUCAAGACGAACAACUGCGAAAGCAUUUACCAAGGAUGUUUUCAUUAAUCAAGAACGAAAGCUCGGGGAUCGAAGAUGAUUAGAUACCAUCGUAGUCCGACGCCAUAAACGAUGCCGACUCGGGAUUGUGGCUGCAGUUCGUAAUUCAAAAAGAACCGCCGCAGCACCGUAUGAGAAAUCAAAGUCUUUGGGUUCCGGGGGGAGUAUGGUCGCAAGGCUGAAACUUAAAGGAAUUGACGGAAGGACACACCAGAGGUGGAGCCUGCGGUUUAAUUUGACCCAACACGGGGAAACUUACCAGGUCCAGACAUGAUGAGGAUUGACAGUUUGAAAGCACUUUCUUGAUUUCAUGGGUGGUGGUGCAUGGCCGUUCUUAGUUGGUGGAGUGAUUUGUCUGGUUGAUUCCGAUAACGAACGAGACGGGGGGAGUUUACUAGCAUGCCAUGUAACUCACGUUACAUGCGGGCUUCUUUACUCGACAACUUGGUUUUACCAAGGGGAAGCGCCCCGCAAUAACAGGUCUGUGAUGCCCUUAGAUGUUCUGGGCUACACGCGCGCUACAAUGACGAGUUCAACGAGUUUUUACAUUCCUUGCCCGGAAGGGUGUGGGUAAUCUUUUCAAUGCUCGUCGUGAUGGGGCUAGAUUUUUGCAAUUAUUAAUCUUCAACGAGGAAUCUCUAGUAUGUGCAAGUCAUCAGCUUGCGCAGAAUGCGUCCCUGUCCUUUGUACACACCGCCCGUCGCACCUACCGAUUGGACGAUCCGGCAAGAAGUUUGGCGUUGUUUUACUUGCUUUCGGGUGAGUGAGAUGGCAAAGCUCUUCAAACCUUAUCGUCUAGAGGAAGGUGAAGUCGUAACAAGGUCUCCGUAGGUGAACCUGCGGAGG